rnacentral:ncRNA from 1 species
UAUAUAGUGUUGAUGGAGACAGUACUUUUUGAAGGCUGACAAAAGCGAUUCGAGGUUGGUGGAAGCUCGAACAUAGUAUUCAAAAAAGAAAAUCACUCCUGAACUAAAUCACUGAAAUCCAUUAUGCUAUGAUGCACAAUAUGUGCAACUAAUAGUUUGGUAACAGUAAGUGAUUUCGUCUACACACGACGUUACAGUGUCUAAGAGGUGAAUAUUAAGCUUUGCUUAAUUUUCGCAAAUUAGGGUGGUACCACGGAUUGCUAAGCUUUUCGUCCCUUUA